rnacentral:sRNA from 1 species
CUUCAUAGGCCUGCUGGGGACAUAUGAAGUGGAUAUGGGUAUCGAAACCGCCUGCUGUCACAAUCUUGUGUUCACCAGCAAUGACAUCGGUGCAGGAGCCUACGAUCAAGUUGGGAUCCACGCCGUCCAUGACAUCUGGGUUACCUGCUUUGCCGAUGCCAACAAUGAUACCAUCCUUGAUACCAAUAUCGGCCUUGUAGAUACCAGACCAGUCGAUAAUCAGAGCGUUUGUGAUGACGGUGUCCAGGGAAUCUUUGUCCGACCGUCCUCCUGCUUGGCCCAUGCCUUCUCGUAG